rnacentral:sRNA from 1 species
GAAACUUAAGUAAAUAAUUAAAUACGUUUAAUAGAAUCGAGGUGUUUUUUUCUAUUGCUCUUGGAUUUUGAGUCGGUUUUGACGACUCUGUCUGGUGCAAUGUUUGAUUGACACCGUCUUUGUAUAGAAGCGUUAGUGCAGAAAAUAACGGGGAUAUUUUAUGUACAAAGUUUUUCAGAAACAUAUUUGCCAACAACUCGCGCGCAAAAUAGUCGACAAACAAACUAUGUUUGACUUGCUUCACAGGCGAGAACGUCUAGUCAAUCAAGUGAUGCCGAAAACCCACUUUGCUGUUAUUACAUUGUCAAGUUUUUGUCUGUGCAAAUAUUCAGGUUCAUGGAAUUGAAUUCAACAAAUUUACAUGUCUGUAAAAAACGUCUUUAAGAAAUGCCCAUUGAGUCUGGCCGAGUGCUUUUUAAAAUAACUUUACUUUUUAUGUACUAUCUUUUUUUAGGUAGCAGUAUUUUCUUUUGUAGAUGAAAAAAAUCUUCAUGUAUAUUAGAGCCAAUUAUGUGAUGUAUACAUGUUUUUAUAUCCAUAUUUGUACAGGAUUUAUGUAAAUGUAUUAAAUUUUGCAAAUGU